rnacentral:rRNA from 1 species
UACAGAGGGUGCAAGCGUUAAUCGGAAUUACUGGGCGUAAAGCGAGCGUAGUCGGUUAUUUAAGUCGGAUGUGAAAUCCCCGGGCUCAACCUGGGAAUUGCAUUCGAUACUGGAUAGCUAGAGUUCGGCAGAGGGAAGCGGAAUUUCGGGUGUAGCGGUGAAAUGCGUAGAGAUCGGGAAGAACAUCGGUGGCGAAAGCGCUCUACUGGACCGCAACUGACACUCAGGGACGAAAGCUAGGGGAGCGAAUGGG